rnacentral:rRNA from 1 species
GGGUUGUGAGGUUAAGCGACUAAGCGUACACGGUGGAUGCCCUGGCAGUCAGAGGCGAUGAAGGACGUGCUAAUCUGCGAAAAGCGCCGGCGAGGUGAUAUGAACCUUUGACCCGGCGAUGUCCGAAUGGGGAAACCCAGUGUGAUUCGUCACACUAUCGUUAACUGAAUACAUAGGUUAACGAGGCGAACCGGGGGAACUGAAACAUCUAAGUACCCCGAGGAAAAGAAAUCAACCGAGAUUCCCCCAGUAGCGGCGAGCGAACGGGGAGCAGCCCAGAGUCUGAAUCAGCUUGUGUGUUAGUGGAACGGUCUGGAAAGUCCGGCGAUACAGGGUGACAGCCCCGUACACGAAAGCACACAGGCUGUGAACUCGAAGAGUAGGGCGGGACACGUGGUAUCCUGUCUGAAUAUGGGGGGACCAUCCUCCAAGGCUAAAUACUCCUGACUGACCGAUAGUGAACCAGUACCGUGAGGGAAAGGCGAAAAGAACCCCGGCGAGGGGAGUGAAAAAGAACCUGAAACCGUGUACGUACAAGCAGUGGGAGCACCUUCGUGGUGUGACUGCGUACCUUUUGUAUAAUGGGUCAGCGACUUAUAUUCUGUAGCAAGGUUAACCGUAUAGGGGAGCCGAAGGGAAACCGAGUCUUAACUGGGCGUUAAGUUGCAGGGUAUAGACCCGAAACCCGGUGAUCUAGCCAUGGGCAGGUUGAAGGUUGGGUAACACUAACUGGAGGACCGAACCGACUAAUGUUGAAAAAUUAGCGGAUGACUUGUGGCUGGGGGUGAAAGGCCAAUCAAACCGGGAGAUAGCUGGUUCUCCCCGAAAGCUAUUUAGGUAGCGCCUCGUGAACUCAUCUUCGGGGGUAGAGCACUGUUUCGGCUAGGGGGCCAUCCCGGCUUACCAACCCGAUGCAAACUACGAAUACCGAAGAAUGUUAUCACGGGAGACACACGGCGGGUGCUAACGUCCGUCGUGAAGAGGGAAACAACCCAGACCGCCAGCUAAGGUCCCAAAGUCAUGGUUAAGUGGGAAACGAUGUGGGAAGGCACAGACAGCCAGGAUGUUGGCUUAGAAGCAGCCAUCAUUUAAAGAAAGCGUAAUAGCUCACUGGUCGAGUCGGCCUGCGCGGAAGAUGUAACGGGGCUAAACCAUGCACCGAAGCUGCGGCAGCGACGCUUAUGCGUUGUUGGGUAGGGGAGCGUUCUGUAAGCCGUUGAAGGUGUGCUGUGAGGCAUGCUGGAGGUAUCAGAAGUGCGAAUGCUGACAUAAGUAACGAUAAAGCGGGUGAAAAGCCCGCUCGCCGGAAGACCAAGGGUUCCUGUCCAACGUUAAUCGGGGCAGGGUGAGUCGACCCCUAAGGCGAGGCCGAAAGGCGUAGUCGAUGGGAAACAGGUUAAUAUUCCUGUACUUGGUGUUACUGCGAAGGGGGGACGGAGAAGGCUAUGUUAGCCGGGCGACGGUUGUCCCGGUUUAAGCAUGUAGGCGGAGGUUCCAGGUAAAUCCGGUACCUUUUAACGCUGAGGUGUGAUGACGAGGCACUACGGUGCUGAAGUAACAAAUGCCCUGCUUCCAGGAAAAGCCUCUAAGCAUCAGGUAACACGAAAUCGUACCCCAAACCGACACAGGUGGUCAGGUAGAGAAUACCAAGGCGCUUGAGAGAACUCGGGUGAAGGAACUAGGCAAAAUGGUGCCGUAACUUCGGGAGAAGGCACGCUGAUAUGUAGGUGAAGCCCCUGCGGGUGGAGCUGAAAUCAGUCGAAGAUACCAGCUGGCUGCAACUGUUUAUUAAAAACACAGCACUGUGCAAACACGAAAGUGGACGUAUACGGUGUGACGCCUGCCCGGUGCCGGAAGGUUAAUUGAUGGGGUUAGCGGCAACGCGAAGCUCUUGAUCGAAGCCCCGGUAAACGGCGGCCGUAACUAUAACGGUCCUAAGGUAGCGAAAUUCCUUGUCGGGUAAGUUCCGACCUGCACGAAUGGCGUAAUGAUGGCCAGGCUGUCUCCACCCGAGACUCAGUGAAAUUGAACUCGCUGUGAAGAUGCAGUGUACCCGCGGCAAGACGGAAAGACCCCGUGAACCUUUACUAUAGCUUGACACUGAACACUGGUCCUUGAUGUGUAGGAUAGGUGGGAGGCUUUGAAGCGUGGACGCCAGUCUGCGUGGAGCC